CUGGGAGGUAAACUGCAGCUGAGGAUAAAGGAAAACUCAUUCUCCUACGGACAACACAUCAGGCAUUCUAAGUGCCCACCACCCACAGCUAGCCAAGUUGUUUUAAGACCUCCAACUGAAGCACCUCACUGCAUGUACCACAGAACAAGUAACUGACAAUCCAGCGACAGAAUACUCUUCUGGAUUAGCAGAUAAAAACUGUGCAGCGUGACAGUGCAGCCAAUCUCCAGUGGACGGGCUCCAUCCAGUCUGUCAGUCUCUCUGGUGCCCUGAAUAAACUUAUUCCAGAUGUGACACAAUCAGAAGGUCAAGUGGGACAACACUUCUCUAGUUCUAGAUUAGCAAGUGAGGUGAAGCAACUGGCCUAAAGGUGAUCAGCUUGUCCAUGACAGACCUGGGUGUCAAGGUCAUCUCCAGAUCUAGGAUGCAGCGUUCCUCCCAUUACCCUUGUAGAUGAAGUUCUGAUCUCAGACAUUAAAGGUAAACAAGAGCAUGUUAAAUACAUACAUCUGAAAGUGCCAGAACUUCAUGCUCAAGGUUGAAAGGACCUUAAACAAGUUCAACCAAACUAGCUCAAGUGACGAAACAGAUUAAGAAUACAUACACAUCUCAGGUCAGAUGGUCCCAACGGAUCCAGAGAAGAACUGAAACAAGAACCUAGCUCUGAGACCACUUGCCGAAAGUGCUCUUAACCAUCACCAUGGAUGCCAACAGUCACUAGACAGUUAGGUCGGAAAGAUACCCAAAUUGUAAUAAUACCUUGCAAAAUGCAAACCACAACGUUGGUAUCCCUAAA